rnacentral:rRNA from 1 species
UGGGGGAUAUUGCACAAUGGGCGAAAGCCUGAUGCAGCGACGCCGCGUGGGGGAUGAAGGCUUUCGGGUUGUAAACCCCUUUCGCUAUCGAACAAGGCCCGCUUAGGGUGGGUUGAGGGUAGGUGGAGAAGAAGCGCCGGCUAACUACGUGCCAGCAGCCGCGGUAAUACGUAGGGCGCGAGCGUUGUCCGGAAUUAUUGGGCGUAAAGGGCUUGUAGGCGGCUUGUUGCGCCUGCUGUGAAAACGCGGGGCUUAACUUCGCGCGUGCAGUGGGUACGGGCAGGCUUGAGUGUGGUAGGGGUGACUGGAAUUCCAGGUGUAGCGGUGGAAUGCGCAGAUAUCUGGAGGAACACCGAUGGCGAAGGCAGGUCACUGGGCCAUUACUGACGCUGAGGAGCGAAAGCAUGGGUAGCGAACAGG